rnacentral:rRNA from 1 species
UACGAAGGGGGCUAGCGUUGUUCGGAAUUACUGGGCGUAAAGCGCACGUAGGCGGGUUGUUAAGUCAGGGGUGAAAUCCUGGAGCUCAACUCCAGAACUGCCUUUGAUACUGAAGAUCCUGAGUGCGGGAGAGGUGAGUGGAACUGCGAGUGUAGAGGUGAAAUUCGUAGAUAUUCGCAAGAACACCAGUGGCGAAGGCGGCUCACUGGCCCGAUACUGACGCUGAGGCACGAAAGCGUGGGGAGCAAACAGG